AGUUGUAAGGGGGGUAUACUGGAAUCAGCUUGUCCGUCCAUCCGGCAGUCCGUCCGGCCGUCCGUCCAGCUGUCCGUCGGUUUUUUCUUGUCCGCCCAAUAACUUAAGAUUCCUUUGACCCUUAGUCUUCAUAUUUGGCAUGGAGGUUAGUCAUGAUUAGUAGAUGACCCCUAUUGAUUUUGAGGUCACUAGGUCAAAGGUCAAGGUCACAGGGGCCUUGACUUCAAAAAGCUUGUCCGCCCAAUAACUUAAGAUUCCUUUGACCUACAGUCGUCAUAUUUGGCAUGGAGGUUAGUCAUGAUUAGUAGAUGUCCCCUAUUUAUUUUGAGGUCACUGGGUCAAAGGUCAAGGUCACAGGGGCCUUCACUUCAAAAAUCUUGUCCCCCCAAUAACUUAAGAUUCCUUUGACCUACAGUCGUCAUAUUUGGCAUGGAGGUUAGUCAUGAUUAGUAGAUGACCCCUAUUGAUUUUCAGGUCAAAGGUCAAGGUCACAGGGGCCUUGACUUCAAAAAGCUUGUCCGCCCAAUAACUUAAGAUUCCUUUGACCCAUAGUCUUCAUAUUUGGCAUGGAGGUUAGUCAUGAUUAGUAAAUGACCCCUAUUGAUUAUGAGGUCACCAGGUCAAAGGUCAAGGUCACAGGGGCCUUGACUUCAAAAAGCUUGUCCGCCCAAUAACUUAAGUUUCCUUUGACCCACAGUCUUCAUAUUUGGCAUGGAGGUAAGUCAUGAUAAGUAGAUGACCCCUAUUGAUUUUGAGGUCACAAGGUCAAAGGUCAAGGUCACAGGGGCCUUGACUUCAAAAAGCUUGUCCGCCCAAUAACUUAAGAUUCCUUUGACCCAUAGUCUUCAUAUUUGGCAUGGAGGUUAGUCAUGAUUAGUAGAUAACCCCUAUUGAUUUUGAGGUCAAAGGUCAAGGUCACAGGGGCCUUGACUUCAAAAAGCUUGUCCCCCCAAUAACUUAAGAUUCCUUUGACCCUUAGUCUUCAUAUUUGGCAUGGAGGCUAGCCAUGAUAAGUAGAUGACCCCUAUUGACUUUGAGGUCACCAGGUGAAAGCUCAAGGUCACAGGGGCCUUGACUUCAAAAGCUUGUCCGCCCAAUAACUUAAGAUUCCUUUGACCCACAGUCUUCAUAUUUGGCAUGGAGGUUAGUCAUGAUUAGUAGAUGACCCCUAUUGACUUUGAGGUCACCAGGUCAAAGGUCAAGGUCACAGGGGCCUUGACUUCAAAAAGCUUGUCCGCCCUAUAACUUAAGAUUCCUUUGACCCACAGUCUUCAUAUUUGGCAUGGAGGUUAGUCAUGAUUAGUAGAUGACCCCUAUUGAUUUUGAGGUCACUGGAUCAAAGGUCAAGGUCAUAGGGACUUUGACUUCAAAAAGUUUGUCCACCCAUUAACUUAAGAUUCCUUUGACCCACAGUCUUCAUAUUUGGCAUGGAUGUUGAUCAUGACUAUAAGGUGACCCCUAUUGAUUUUGAGGUCACUGGGUCAAAGGUCAAGGUCACAGGGACCUUGACAAAAGCUUUUCUUCUCAAUUGCUAAAGAAUGUCCUGUCCGCAAUGUAUUGAUUUUGACAUUUUCACAUUUGAAGCAUGUAGAAUACAUAACUUAGCAAUGCACUGGCUUAGUAACCUCAGAUUUGGCAGGGAGGUUGUCUUUGAGCUCUAAAUGGCCACUGUUGAUUCUGACAAAGUGGUAUGCGGGGGUAUUCACGCCAUGAUAGUGGCAGUUCUAGUUUUUA